GAACCACUUCGGUGGGGAUUAGUGGCGAACGGGUGAGUAACACGUGGGCAAUCUGCCCUGCACUCUGGGACAAGCCCUGGAAACGGGGUCUAAUACCGGAUACUGAGCCGCUUGGGCAUCCAAGUGGUUCGAAAGCUCCGGCGGUGCAGGAUGAGCCCGCGGCCUAUCAGCUUGUUGGUGAGGUAAUGGCUCMCCAAGGCGACGACGGGUAGCCGGC
rnacentral:rRNA from 1 species